rnacentral:rRNA from 1 species
GUGAGGAAUAUUGGUCAAUGGGCGCAAGCCUGAACCAGCCAUGCCGCGUGCAGGAAGACGGUCCUAUGGAUUGUAAACUGCUUUUAUUUGGGAAUAAACUCCGGUACGUGUACCGGCCUGAAGGUACCAAAUGAAUAAGCACCGGCUAACUCCGUGCCAGCAGCCGCGGUAAUACGGAGGGUGCAAGCGUUAUCCGGAAUCAUUGGGUUUAAAGGGUCCGCAGGCGGUCUUAUAAGUCAGUGGUGAAAGCCUACAGCUCAACUGUAGAACUGCCGUUGAUACUGUAGGACUUGAAUUCGAUCGAAGUGGGGGGAAUGUGACAUGUAGCGGUGAAAUGCUUAGAUAUGUCACAGAACACCGAUAGCGAAGGCAGCUCACUAGGUCUGGAUUGACGCUCAGGGACGAAAGCGUGGGGAGCAAACAGGAUUAGAUACCCGUGUAGUCC